rnacentral:lncRNA from 1 species
CUGGGCAGAUUCUGCUUUUAUUAUCAAAUUAAUUCUGUUCUAUUUUUUUCUUGGCUUGGAGGAGUGGGAAAAUAUUCUUAGUAAGAAUUGAAGGAAAAUGCAAAUUGAUAUUAGAAAUCUUUUCCCAAGUAACAUAUAAAGCCUGAUAUAGUAGACUUAAGAGAAGCUAAGCAAGAAAAGGAACGAUAAGUUUUGCAUGAAGUGAGGAAUGUGAAAGAUGAAGGAAAUAUCUUGAACAAAGUUAGUUCCAGAAAUUACAAUAAACCUUUGCUCUUUCAAAAAAUUACUUUGCUUUCUUCUGCAAUGGCAAAACAUCCAUAGAUAUGCCACAACAAUUUUUCUAUUUAAAGAGUGAGGGAAUGGAUAGCAAGUUGCAAAAAUCAUCUUCUAGAUUCUCAGGGGUAUAUAAUGCAUACUCUUAAUGGUGAUGUAGGACAUUUUUCUACUGUUAUGAGCUGGAAAUAUUAGCCAGCAGAUCCCCCUAUGGUCAGCCAAUGUCACUUGAUUGGUCUGUUUCGUGAGUUUGAAGAUUACAUAUUUGGAUGACAAGUCAGUGGGUAGUUAGAUGGGCAUGUUGCUACAAAAGAAUAUAUUUGUUAUCAUAUUAACAGCGUUCCCUUAAGAAAAAAUAUGAUUAUUUUGGAGGAUUGCAAAUUUGGUUUGAGGGUCAAUUAAUUGUUAGUUUUUUGUCUAUUUGUGCUAAAACAUUUUAAUGGAGUGAUGUACUUUCUAUAAAAUGGAAGUCUAGUAUUGGAACCAAUGAAUUUAAAGAACAAUUCAAUCAAAUGUGUUUUGGUUG